rnacentral:lncRNA from 1 species
AUCAAAUUGCUAGCCAUUAUCCACUAGAUAUCUCCUAUAAGAUUUUUUUUCAAUAGAAAUUGGUUAUUCCUUCUAUUUUCUUACGAGUAUACUUUUUCUGCAUGUAUUAAAAUAAUAGUCAGUGUUCUGUUUUACAAAUACAUUGUCUAUGAGAACUGAAAUUAGUAGUUGAUAUUGCAGCCAUUGGGUUUUACUGCACUCCAAAUUCUCAGGAUAACAUGAACCAAACUAAAAUUAAUGUACAAUGUCGGGUCUAGCUCAGUAAACUCAUAUGCAGUUGGGCUAUGAGAACUGAAAUUAAUAGUUGCUAUUGCAGNNNNNNNNNNNNNNNNNNNNGUCUAGCUCAGUAAACUCAUAUGCAGUUGGGCUAUGAGAACUGAAAUUAAUAGUUGCUAUUGCAGCCAUUGGGGUUUAGUGUACUCCAAAUUCUCGGGAUAACAUGAACCAAACUAAAAUUAAUGUAUAAUGUCGGGUCUAGCUCAGUAAAAUCAUAUGUAGUUAAACCCAACCCAGAGCGAUGAAGUGUGUUUAGUUUGGGUCCAAAUUUUGGACUGGAAAAUACUUAGGUCAGGUAACAUCUGGUUUAUAUUGCUCACCAACAGGCUACCACAAUCUAUCUCUAUUUGAUGGUAAAUUCUGUCGACAAAGGGAA